UGCUUCUGAGCUGUGGCUGUGC
rnacentral:misc_RNA from 1 species